GCAGGUUCUUGGUUUGGUAGAGAACCAGAGUGACUGGUACCUAGGAAACCUUUGGAAGAAUCACCGUCCCUGGCCAGCUCUCGGAAGAGGUUACAAUACAGGGGUUAUUCUGUUACUUCUGGAUAAAUUGCGCAAGAUGAAAUGGGAGCAGAUGUGGAGACUCACAGCUGAAAGAGAGCUAAUGAGCAUGCUCUCCACCUCAUUGGCUGACCAGGAUAUUUUCAAUGCAGUCAUCAAACAGAAUCCCUUUCUUGUCUAUCAGCUUCCCUGUUUCUGGAAUGUGCAAUUGUCAGACCAUACCCGCUCUGAACAAUGUUACCGGGAUGUUUCUGACCUUA